rnacentral:tRNA from 2 species
CGGAAGUUAGCUCACUGGUAGAGCGGUCGAUUUCUAAUCGAUUGGUUAUAGGUUCGAUUCCUAUACUUUCAACCA